GAUGAACGCUGGCGGCGUGCCUAAUACAUGCAAGUCGAGCGAACGGACGAGAAGCUUGCUCCUCUGAUGUUAGCGGCGGACGGGUGAGUAACACGUGGAUAACCUACCUAUAAGACUGGGAUAACUUCGGGAAACCGGAGCUAAUACCGGAUAAUAUUUUGAACCGCAUGGUUCAAUAGUGAAAGACGGUUUUGCUGUCACUUAUAGAUGGAUCCGCGCUGCAUUAGCUAGUUGGUAAGGUAACGGCUUACCAAGGCGACGAGGCGUAGCCGACCUGAGAGGAUGAUCGGCCACACUGGAACUGAGACACGGUCCAGACUCCUACGGGAGGCAGCAGUGGGGAAUAUUGGACAAUGGGCGAAAGCCUGACGCAGCAACGCCGCGUGGGUGAUGAAGGCCUUCGGAUCGUAAAGCUCUUUUGUUGGGAAAGAAAAGAAGUAGAUUAAUCUAUGGCCGUCUUGACGGUACCUAAAGAAAAAGCAACGGCUAACUUCGUG
rnacentral:rRNA from 1 species